AUUGAACGCUGGCGGCAUGCUUUACACAUACAAGUCGAACGGUAGCAGGCCGCAAGGUGCUGACGAGUGGCGAACGGGUGAGUAAUGCAUCGGAACGUGCCCAGUCGUGGGGGAUAACGCAGCGAAAGCUGUGCUAAUACCGCAUACGAUCGAUGGAUGAAAGCGGGGGACCGUAAGGCCUCGCGCGAUUGGAGCGGCCGAUGUCCGAUUAGGUAGUUGGUGGGGUAAAGGCCUACCAAGCCGACGAUCUGUAGCUGGUCUGAGAGGACGACCAGCCACACUGGGACUGAGACACGGCCCAGACUCCUACGGGAGGCAGCAGUGGGGAAUUUUGGACAAUGGGCGCAAGCCUGAUCCAGCAAUGCCGCGUGCAGGAAGAAGGCCUUCGGGUUGUAAACUGCUUUUGUACGGAACGAAACGGUCUGGGUUAAUACCCUGGGCUAAUGACGGUACCGUAAGAAUAAGCACCGGCUAACUACGUGCCAGCCGCCGCAGUAACAC
rnacentral:rRNA from 1 species